AGUGAACGCUGGCGGCGUGCCUAAUACAUGCAAGUCGAGCGAGAGGCGGACGGGUGAGUAAUGUCUGGGAAACUGCCUGAUAGAGGGGGAUAACUACUGGAAACGGUAGCUAAUACCGCAUACCAUCAGAUGUGCCCAGAUGGGAUUAGCUAGUAGGUGGGGUAAUGGCUCACCUAGGCGACGAUCCCAAGCUGGUCUGAGAGGAUGACAAGCCAAACUGGAACGGAGACACGGUCCAGACUCCUAUGGCAGGCAGCAGUGGGUAAUAUUGGACAAUGGGCGCAAGUCUGAUGCAGCGAUGCGGCGCGUGGGAAUAAGGCCUGCGGGUUGUAAAGCACUCUCAGCGAGGAGGCGGUACUCGCAGAAGAAGCACCGGCUAACUCCGUGCUAGCAGCUGCGGUAAUAC
rnacentral:rRNA from 1 species